CCUUUGAUGCUUCUGAGCCUGC
rnacentral:piRNA from 1 species